rnacentral:rRNA from 1 species
AGCGAACGCUGGCGGCAGGCCUAACACAUGCAAGUCGAGCGCCCCGCAAGGGGAGCGGCAGACGGGAGAGUAACACGUGGGAACGUACCCUUUGGUUCGGAACAACCCAGGGAAACUUGGGCUAAUACCGGAUAAGCCCUUACGGGGAAAGAUUCAUCGCCGAAGGAUCGGCCCGCGUCUGAUUAGCUAGUUGGUGGGGUAACGGCCCACCAAGGCGACGAUCAGUAGCUGGUCUGAGAGGAUGAUCAGCCUCACUGGGACUGAGACACGGCCCAGACUCCUAGGGGAGGCAGCAGUGGGGAACAUUGGACAAUGGGCGCAAGCCUGAUCCAGCCAUGCCGCGUGGGUGAUGAAGGCCCUAGGGUUGUAAAGCCCUUUCGGCGGGGAAGAUAAUGACGGUACCCGCAGAAGAAGCCCCGGCUAACUUCGUGCCAACAGCCGCCGUAA